UACAGAGGGUGCAAGCGUUGUUCGGAAUUAUUGGGCGUAAAGCGCGUGUAGGCGGCUUUGCAAGUCGGGUGUGAAAGCCCUCAGCUUAACUGAGGAAGUGCGCCCGAAACUGCUUAGCUUGAGUGCCGGAGAGGAUGGCGGAAUUCCCCAAGUAGAGGUGAAAUUCGUAGAUAUGGGGAGGAACACCGGUGGCGAAGGCGGCCAUCUGGACGGGUACUGACGCUGAUGCGCGAAAGCUAGGGUAGCAAACGGG
rnacentral:rRNA from 1 species